rnacentral:misc_RNA from 1 species
UAUUGAGGGUGAUGAUUGAUAAUGAACUAUUUUUACUUUUAAUAGCUAAUCUACCCAUUAUUUUUACUGAACACUUUAUUUUAAAUUACUAUAUAAAUAACUAAUCAUCAACCAUUAAUAUUUAAUAGCUACAACUCGUAAAAUAAUUGAUAGCUAUAAAAUAGCUAACAAACUAUUAAAACAGUUAAUAUUAUCAAACAGUGU